AGGCAUCAGAAUCGGAGGCUCCUGCAACUUACUCUUUUAUCUUUCAAUGCCCCUUGGCAAUCAUUAUCCACCUGACCGUUUGAUCUCUUGUUUUUUGUUUUCGGUUCAGGUAUUUCUUGUAUUGCUUUUUUCCUUUUCUUUUCUUUCUUUUUUUUCUUUUUUUUUUUAGCAGGAUCAACCUCGAUUCCUCUUAUCCGCUCACAAUAUGCCUCAGCACUUACCGGACCGCACUACAUAAGUGCACUGAUUCGGAUUCAACCUCAGCCUGAGUUAUCUCAACCGGUCAAACAACUUGCCCCGGUCUACCGGAUGCCCUCCUUCUGCUCGGGACU
rnacentral:lncRNA from 1 species